rnacentral:rRNA from 1 species
AGUAUGUGGUCGUAGACCCGAAACCAGGUGAUCUACCCAUGUCCAGGAUGAAGUUCAGGUAACACUGAAUGGAGGUCCGAACCCACGCACGUUGAAAAGUGCGGGGAUGAGGUGUGGGUAGCGGAGAAAUUCCAAUCGAACUUGGAGAUAGCUGGUUCUCUCCGAAAUAGCUUUAGGGCUAGCCUCAUGUGUAAGAGUCUUGGAGGUAGAGCACUGUUUGGACUAGGGGCCCUCAUCGGGUUACCGAAUUCAGACAAACUCCGAAUGCCAAAGACUUAUCCAUGGGAGUCAGACUGCGAGUGAUAAGAUCCGUAGUCGAAAGGGAAACAGCCCAGACCACCAGCUAAGGUCCCAAAGUAUACGUUAAGUGGAAAAGGAUGUGGAGUUGCUUAGACAACCAGGAUGUUGGCUUAGAAGCAGCCACCAUUUAAAGAGUGCGUAAUAGCUCACUGGUCGAGUGACUCUGCGCCGAAAAUGUACCGGGGCUAAACGUAUCACCGAAGCUGUGGAUUGACACCUCUAGGUGUCAGUGGUAGGAGAGCGUUCUAAGGACUGCGAAGCUAGACCGUAAGGACUGGUGGAGUGCUUAGAAGUGAGAAUGCCGGUAUGAGUAGCGAAAGAUGGGUGAGAAUCCCAUCCACCGAAUGCCUAAGGUUUCCUGAGGAAGGCUCGUCCGCUCAGGGUUAGUCGGGACCUAAGUCGAGGCCGAUAGGCGUAGACGAUGGACAACAGGUUGAUAUUCCUGUACCACCUCUUUUCCGUUUGAGCAAUGGGGGGACGCAGGAGGAUAGGGUAAGCGCACUGCUGGAUAUGUGCGUCUAAGCAGUUAGGCUGAUGAUGAGGCAAAUCCCAUCAUCGUGAAGGCUGAGCUGUGAUAGCGAGCGAAUUAUAGUAGCGAAGUUCCUGAUUCCACACUGCCAAGAAAAGCCUCUAGCGAGGAAAAAGGUGCCCGUACCGCAAACCGACACAGGUAGGCGAGGAGAGAAUCCUAAGGUGAGCGAGAGAACUCUCGUUAAGGAACUCGGCAAAAUGACCCCGUAACUUCGGGAGAAGGGGUGCUCUGGUAGGGUGCAAGCCCGAGAGAGCCGCAGUGAAUAGGCCCAGGCGACUGUUUAGCAAAAACACAGGUCUCUGCGAAGCCGUAAGGCGAAGUAUAGGGGCUGACGCCUGCCCGGUGCUGGAAGGUUAAGAGGAGUGCUUAGCGCAAGCGAAGGUGCGAAUCGAAGCCCCAGUAAACGGCGGCCGUAACUAUAACGGUCCUAAGGUAGCGAAAUUCCUUGUCGGGUAAGUUCCGACCCGCACGAAAGGCGUAACGAUCUGGGCACUGUCUCAACGAGAGACUCGGUGAAAUUAUAGUACCUGUGAAGAUGCAGGUUACCCGCGACAGGACGGAAAGACCCCGUGGAGCUUUACUGUAGCCUGAUAUUGAAUUUUGGUACAGCUUGUACAGGAUAGGUAGGAGCCUUGGAAACCGGAGCGCCAGCUUCGGUGGAGGCAUCGGUGGGAUACUACCCUGGCUGUAUUGAAAUUCUAACCCGCGCCCCUUAUCGGGGUGGGAGACAGUGUCAGGUGGGCAGUUUGACUGGGGCGGUCGCCUCCUAAAGAGUAACGGAGGCGCCCAAAGGUUCCCUCAGAAUGGUUGGAAAUCAUUCGCAGAGUGUAAAGGCACAAGGGAGCUUGACUGCGAGACCUACAAGUCGAGCAGGGACGAAAGUCGGGCUUAGUGAUCCGGUGGUUCCGCAUGGAAGGGCCAUCGCUCAACGGAUAAAAGCUACCCCGGGGAUAACAGGCUUAUCUCCCCCAAGAGUCCACAUCGACGGGGAGGUUUGGCACCUCGAUGUCGGCUCAUCGCAUCCUGGGGCUGUAGUCGGUCCCAAGGGUUGGGCUGUUCGCCCAUUAAAGCGGUACGCGAGCUGGGUUCAGAACGUCGUGAGACAGUUCGGUCCCUAUCCGUCGUGGGCGCAGGAAAUUUGAGAGGAGCUGUCCUUAGUACGAGAGGACCGGGAUGGACGCACCGCUGGUGUACCAGUUGUCUUGCCAAAGGCAUCGCUGGGUAGCUAUGUGCGGAAGGGAUAAGUGCUGAAAGCAUCUAAGCAUGAAGCCCCCCUCGAGAUGAGAUUUCCCAUCACGUAAGUGAGUAAGAUCCCUAGAAGAUGACUAGGUAGAUAGGUCAGAGAUGGAAGCAUGGCGACAUGUGGAGUUGACUGAUACUAAUCGAUCGAGGACUUAACCAC